rnacentral:misc_RNA from 1 species
AAAGAUCGCAGCCUGCGGCAGCUCCUACAGUGGGAAGUGGUAUCACCUCUGUAGGAGCUGCCGCAGGCUGCGAUCUUU